AAAAGCAUAUGUUUGGGUUCUAUGCAUUGGAAAUAGAAUGUGUGGGGACAUCUAGAACAAUUUGUAUGUUGUUUGGAAGUAGUCCUGCAUAUUACAGAAGAGCCUCAUGCUAAUGCAACUAUAGUAAGAAAACAAAGUCCUGGAGGCAUGACACAAGAAAACGUAAAGCAUAGAAACAAAUUACAACACAGUGAAGAGACCAAGAGAUUUUCCAUGAUUCUAAAAAAGUGUUGAGGGGCGAUAGAUGGCGUCGACUUCGGCAGCCAGCAAUCCCAAGGUGUAGCAUGGUGGAGUAGGCGAUGAUGUGCAGCCUCGGCCAGCGUAGGGCAGCGGCCGAUCGUAGUAGCAGCAGGCGGAGCUCUUGCCUUAUCUGUAAAAGAAAUCGGCAUCAUAUUGAGAUCUAAACUGCACAACACUAAUAUAUGCGAGCCUGUGAAAAAUAAGUGCAAAUAGAAGUAUCAAGAACUUUGAAGUUUGCUGCAAGAAAAUUGAUAACAUUAAAUGGAAGUUUCCCUAGCAGGCUAAAAAUGUGUUAAGUUUUGGAGUGUUAAUAUCGAAUGUAAAAGGUCCAAUAAUAUACACACCUGGCCACUGGCACACCAAGAAACAUUGUCAUUAGCUAAAACCCGAAAAGAUAAACAUCAUAGGGAAAAGGGGAUUUUUAAUAUCCUACUAUUAGAAAUAUGAUGAACAUUGAUGCAAUCCUCCAAAAACCGAUUGACACCAAAUUUUGAACGGAUGCAUACUUGACACCUUCGUUCCAUUAUGUUGGCAAAAAAACCAAAACGGAACAGUGGGAAAAAUUGAUCAGGCUAAGGCACAAGGAUGCAGAGGCUGCUAAUGGAUUCAGAAAAAAAUAUCCUCACUGAGGAUCUUGCAUAAUUUUGCAUACAUAACUGGAUUAUCUCUAUAUACUAUUAAAGGCGAUAAAAAAAUUGUUUCUAUGACAACAAAUUCAAAUCUAGCUUGAGAGGAUAGAGCACAAACCAGUGAAAACCAAGAUUAAGAACACAAAUACUAAGAAAGUGAACUAAAGCAUGAGUAGGUAGUUGAUGCCCUGCUCGGCUUGUUCUAUCUAUUCACGCAAGAAAUUAUGAGCAUAGAAAAAUUAAAUUAGACCCACAAAGUAAAUUUGUUUUACUUAGCUUUCAAAAAAAAUGUUAUACUUCCCUUGAUCUUAAGUACCCAGUUUUACGAUGACCAUCUCCUGUAAAAUUCUGUGCUCCAAGCUCACCAUGACAUGGUCCAAUUAACGCUCCUUAUUGUCAUUAUUCUGUUUCUUAUCUGGCAAACCACCUCAUCUCCCAACUGACUAAUAUCUGCAAACAAUAGGCAGAACAAAUUAUCACCGCAUGAUAUAGGCAGAAAAAAACACAUAACUUGGUCCUAGUCGAUGAAGAUGCUAGAUAUUUGCACAAGUGCCCACGUACCUUGGUGUAGAGUGGACAUUGUCAUACUUGAAGUGUUGCGUUGGAUGGCAUGCUUGCAGCUAUCCAUGCAGCUCUCGCCACUGCUUGCGCCACGCUCGCCGACGCUGCUCUACCACUGCCGCAAGCACCAGCCACAUGCUCCGCCGCGAGCAGCCAACCAAGAUGUCACAUCUUUGCAUGAGUG
rnacentral:lncRNA from 1 species